UUGCUUUGCCGGGAUGCUCAGCCCUCGCCGCGGUAGAAAAGCCUUUUCGGGACGAGCUCCCGUCGCCCGCCCGGCGUGCCGGGGGGUGUCGCGGGUGGGGUGAGAAGGUCUCCUCUCCAAAGUUUUGCGUGUGGGGAGCAAGCGUGCCUCUCCUCCUCGGAUUACUCUGCCUUUGCCUCUAAUUUCUUCCUCCAAAUGCAUCAACACGUGCUUUCCUUUCUCCCGGCCGAGAGCGAUGUUCAACCGGGCUGAAACUCGGCAGGUCGGCGGGCUCGGUGCAAAAUUCCCCAGGCUGGGGGGCUGCCCGGGGCGGGGGGGGGGGUCUGCAGCCCAGGAGAGCAGUGGCCGUGGUUGAGCAUCACCGCAGAGAUGCUCUCCAGCCCGUCCGGGGCCGUCGCACACGCUUGCCACGGUUUUCACGCCUGGCGUGGGUGAGGUAGCUCAUGGCAUGGAGGAGGGGGUGCGGGUCUGUGCCCCCCCCCCCGCCCCGGGGGGGUCUCCGGUGCUGCGGCGAGACACUGCAGCUCCUCGCUGUGCAAAGUGCUCUGGCAGCCGAGUUGUCCUAGAAAGUCUGUAAGUCUUGUUUCUCCAUUCGGUGACGUCAGGUCGUUCAAAUUAGACGCUACGUGAAGAUUUCACGUACAGCUGUACGCGAAGAUUUCAUGAAUAAGGGUUUUCUCCUUGAUAAUUUUAAGAUUUAAUUUACUUGACGGAGAGAGCGAGUUUGCAACAGCACGGUGCCUGUCGCUGGGUAGUGCCGCCGUCUCUCUCUGUGCCGUGCGGCCUCCACGGAGGCUGGUGUACCUUGGCAGAGCAUGCCCUCCUUAGGAAAUCCUCUGGAGUAAAAAGUAAGCGUAAUUUGUUAUGAAAUAGGCUGAUAGACCAAACUUCAGUUCGCGAUUGAAACCAGAUGUGCAUAUUUUCCUUUUGAAUCCUCAAACAAUAACAGAAGUCUAUUUUGACAGAUUAAAAACUACUUGCAAAUUGCAGGGGUAGCGGUGUCUUGCGAUAAUACAGUAAAAACACGGAGGGCUGCGAGCACCUCCGCCCGCCUCUCACCAAUAUCGGGUAUCUCCGAGCGCAGGAGGCUGCCGCUGCGUUCCCUCCGAUCGCAAGGCGCAGAUUCCCUUGGCUCGCCUCUGACACGGGCAGAACUAUUUACCAGGGCUUGGCUGAGGGCUGGAAAAAGAAAUAAAGAAACCCCCAAACAAUGUAGAUAAUGUUUCUAGCGAAAAUAUUUGGGGUGGGUCACGAAACAGGUUAAUUAGAGCGAUAGUAAAAAACCUGAAUUUCAGAGCGGUUUGCUCUGUUAUUACCUGUCGUGGCUCACUGUAGGCUUGAAGAGAGCUUCUGAUUUAUUUCUUUGGUUUUAAAAGUCCUGCAGAGCCUGAGGAUGCUUGUGGUGGUGGGUGUGUUAGACCCGGCUCCGGUGCGGCCGGGCUCAGGGAUGCAGGAUUAGGGCUGUUCACCCCAUGCUGGAGGCAUUUCUCUUGGAGAAGGACACAGCCUCCUCGCUUUCAAAAGUGGGGGGAAAAACCCAACCAGAAAAAACCCAACCAAAACAACCUGCUGUGGAAUUGCUUCCUUCUCUCCACUUCAAAGGAGAGAAGGACGCCAUGUGGGGCACGGCCGCGCGUGCCGGCGGUUUUGCAGCUGAAUCCCUGGGUCCAGACUUUCUCAAUUCCAGGUUAAACCCGGAGAAAGGAGGGAAACUUCGGCAACUUCCCGCUCUGCACAGGGCCAAGGUGUCCAGGAACCGCGUCAGUUAUAGAAAGCAGAUGGCCUUUGGGAGGAAGAUCAGGCUGUCGAAUGAAAAACUUUGCGUGGAAAAUCGGGGCAAAUCGAUUCAGUAGAUAAUUGAUUUGUGUGAGUGAGAUCCAGAUUUUUAUAUAUGGAGAUCAGGCAGACUGCAGGACAGAGACAGCACUGAUGUAGGCUAAUGUUCAGGUGUGGAUACCUGCAUAAAUAAAUACGUGUGCAUAAAAAAAUACACGUGCAUAAAUAUACACACAUGCAAUAUAAAUCCCCAAAUCUGCUUCGGUUAAUUGUAUGUAAUUAAUUUUUUUAGUAUCAAAGGCUUGCUUCACUUUCAGCAAAGGUAUAGGUAGAACGAGACGUACAGCUUUUUGCCGAAACACCUGUGUUUCUGUGCAGAACAGGCAGGAUGGACCCUGUCCUGAAGGGGGAUGGAGGGGAAUUGGGUUUAUCCAAUUUGUCCAUUUUAUUAUUACUGGUUGACUUCGGAUUUCUCAAAUGACGGCUGUGUGGUUUGAGGCUGUUCUUCCUUUUUCUUUCUUUCUUGUAAUGUUGUAUGGAGUUUCUUUACUUGAUCUUCAUCGGGAUGGGGAUAGUUUGUACUUCCCUUGUAAAAUCUCAAGUAGAAAAGAGGGCACCCUAAGUCAAAAGGGCCCGUUUUGGUUUUGUUCCCUUCCCCCUUCCGUAUCACAUGGUUUAUAGAACAAUUUUGCUGGGAAAUAGUCCUAAUGAACAUUAAUCUGUGGCAAAGCAGACUUUGGACCAACGGGCUGGGGCAGGGCGAGGUGCCAGAGAUGCUCCUAGCUCUUCGGAGAGCUCAGCCCGGAGGGGUCGGAUCUCCUUCCCACGUCCCAGGGGAGGGAGAGGGGAAGCAGAGCCUUUGCAUCAGGUCUGCCCUCACCAAAACUAGGGUUGAAAUAGUUGAAAAUACCUCCAGAAAGACAAGCCCACAUUUUGUUCCCGUGGCCGUGGGGAACGAGGCCAGCAGAGGAGCUGAGGAGGUUGUUCCUCUCUAGCUCCUCAAGCGAGCUCUCUUCUUGGCUGCCUUUUUUUAAUUUUUUUUCUUUUUUUUUUUUUUUUUUUUGCUCCUUUCUCUCCCAAAACGGGGAGGAGGAGGAAGAGGAAGCAAGCCUGCUGACUCGGGGAAACAGAACAAAAAAAAAAAAAAAAAAAAAAAAAAAAAAAAAAAAGGAGGUCUGACGAGUAGCGGAGGGCUGUGACUAUCGGCGGUCUCGCGUGCCUGGUCCGAUGUGAUGGUGGAGCGAGGCGGCGAUAGCCGUUUCUUGGCAGGCUCCCCUGGCACGCCGCGGUUCACGUCGCGGGGGUCCCCGCGGGGCCGUGCAAAAAUAUCACCAAAACAACAGCUCCUCCGGCGCGUCUGCUCCCCGGAGAGCUAAAUAUAAACUAAUGGGGCAAAGAGAAGGGAAUUUUCCACCGUGCUACUCAUCUGUGCUUGCGAGCCUGCUGGGUCGUUAAGCCUGACGGGCUGCUCCCCCCUGGGGACCCCCCCCUGCCCGAGCCCGCUCCCCCCGACCCCAGCACGGCACGGCGAGAGUGCCACCGCUCCCUUUAGAGAUGAGACCUUCCCUAAAUUCCUCGAAAGCGGUCGGGGCAGCGGCAGACCUGAGCCCUGGCGCUCUGGUUCUGCGCUUAAGUACCCCUAUGAGCUGUGGCUGUGUUAUAAUUAUGAAAAAGGACUUUUCCAAGGUCACGCUAUGUGUCCGCAGUUGUAGCCUGGCUGCCUGCGACCCAGCUAUUUGCUUAGAGCAGCAAUGCAGAACGUGGCUCUGGUACAGUGAACCAGAGAGCAGAUCCUUGGGCUGUUUUGUUUUUCCAAACUUUUACGAGUUGGCUGCCUUUAGAGAGACAAAAAUUCCCAGGCAAGAGCUUAUUUCUGAAGCCCCGCCAAGCUGGUGCGAGCUCUGAUAGUACAGGCUGUGGAUGCGUGAGCCUUUAGUCAUCAACAGGUGAAGCAGGUAUUGAAAAUUAAGAAGUGUCAUCACGCAAUUAAUUUACAGCCAGAAUUUCUCCUGGCUUCAGGUGGUUCAUCCACGAGUUUUGAAGCCUAUGAAGUUUGCGAUGUUAGAUUCGUAAGAUACCGCACCUUAGGCAUCUAACAUAUGCUAUAUAAGAUAAGUAAGAUUUGAUAUGUUAGAAGUUUCUGUUGAACUGCACGGAAGGAGGAAUCUGCGUUGGACUGACCUGGAGGAGCACCGGAGCCGGCACGAAGCACGGCUGCUCCCAGCACCGCAGGCUGUGGGUCCCUGCGCAGGCGACUGGGGGUACCCGGGUGAGUUUGGCUCCCUAAUCGCUAUAUUUGAGCAGUGGUUUAAGGACUGGUCGAGGGAGUGCAAAAAAUCUGUUCUGGUGCAUUGAGUUUCUAUGCUCCCCCUCCAAAAAAAUAUGCCCAAGGGAGACUUGGUCAUGGUUUUUGCUUUUAGAGGAUUAAAUAUAGCAGCAUCAUUGGUGUCACUCCUCUGUAGUCCUUUUGAAGCAUCCCUCGGGCUAUAUCAUUCCCUGUAUCUGUGGAUCCUGGCCACAGCUUUUGCUUUCAGCAGCCAAAGUUCAGGGCUUGCGCUGUGCGGUAGGUAUGGGACGGUGGUGAAAGAAGAGUUUUACUUUGUGGCCGUUUUGUGCUUAUAUAUGGUUACGUCUCCUAGGGUUUGUAAAAAAUGAAAUCUGGCGAACUUCGAUCCGGCAGCUGGAAAACUUGCUCUCCCUCUCUCUGCUCAAAACCAGCCCUCGAAAGGAAGGACCAAAAAUCCGUUCAAUGGCAGAGGAGGAGCGGGGCUCAGGGGUGGGGGUGCGGAACGAUGCUGCUGUCAGGGUGCACCAGCAGCUUGCUCUGGUCUCAGCGGCUGGUCUGGACUGGGGGGGUUAGGAGACGCACCCCUCAUCCUGCUCCUAAAUCCAAGGUCUUCUCAGGGACGAGUUAAAGCAGAUUAUGUGCUUCCUUGCAUUUAAGAAAUUUCUUUUUUGUCCUUUUCCCCAUACCGACUCUUGCAGUGACCCAAGACAAGCCUUCGUGCUCCUCUGCCUCAGUUGCCCCAGUUGUACAACUGCUGUCAUCGUUAUUCUGCACCUCUGGGAAAUGUUAGGGAAGGGAAGGGAAACGGCGUUAAUGAAGACAACUACGCUUGUCUCGGGUUAGGACAGCUUAGCAGCACAGUUAGGCCAGGGGUGGUAGCAAUUUCUCGUUUCAGGUGAUGUGGGAAAGUCACAAUAACUGUGAGUUUUGUAUUUGUGUGCUUACCUUAACGUUACUGAAAAUAGCCUCCUGGUGUGCUGGGUAGUAGUUGUCCAUGCUAUAAAAUUACUUCAAGUAUAUAUAUAAUUAACCCCUGUAUUGCACGCUUGUUUUCUCUCAGCCGUUACAAAUGAAUAUUGUAUAACAUUUUUGAAAGGACAAGUUUUAAUGCUAUUAAAUAGAUGCCAAAAGCUACAAUUGUGUGCCAAAGCUGAAGAUCCGUUACAAUUAUGGAGAUACAGAAAGCAUUAGGAAUAUCCACAUUUGGUUUUGCAGCCUCUCUGUUAGUUCAGAAAAAGAUUAUCUCUUUAUUGGACUAUCAGUUGUGUUAUAAUUGAAAUACAAUGUGAUGGAUGGUACUUCUUGGAGCGAAAGUAUUGUGGUUAAUGAAGAUUUACAGUUACCGAUAGCUUCAUUUAGAAACUAUCACCCGCGUUUUUGGUUGCACAUGGUUUAUAUUGCUGGUAGAAGAUUACUUUUCCCAUGGAGGUUUCAGGUGAAUUGUUAAGUAUUUUAAACUUAAUUUAAAAAAAAAAUUCCAACACUCCAGCAUGAUGGAUUGCGCUUUUGAUGCCCUCCCUGUGCCCGUCCCUUGCACACCCCCACGAUAGACUGUGAAGGUGACAGGGGACCGUACUGGGACAUGGGGACUGCUGGGCACGGGGAUGUAGCAGCUCACUCGAGGCGUAGGGCAGCGAGCCAGGAGAGCUGCGCGCCUGGACACCGCUCCGUGUAUCGCUAGUUUUAGUAAUUUUCUGAAUUAAUUCCUGCUGGAGCAUGUCUUUUAGAAAAGCCAUCCAGUGCAGAGAUAAAAACAUAGCGAGGAUUGAGAACCCACCGCAGCCAUUUAUUAUGCUGGUAAUUUAUUGCAGUGAUUAUUGUCCAUGCUGUUCAGGAAAAAAAUUGCACUUUGCCCUUACUCUGAAUCUGCAUAGUUCCGACUUCCCGCAGUGCUGGGUGGUGUUACAGCGCAGGUCUGCUCCGUCUGAAGGACCUGCUCGGCAUCUCCUUCCCUCUCUGAGGGCGGCCAGGUCGUUCCUGAGCACUUACCACUUGAUGUUCCCCCCAAUCUUGCGCCGUACCCGUGUCUUCAAGUCCCUCAGUUACUCCUGGGGUCUUCUCCAGACCUUAACCAGACGCGGCAGAAGGCUCCAGUUGCCUGUAGUGGUCGUGGAGAGCACAGAGGCAAUACCGUCUCUUCUCCUCCUGGAGAUCCCCAAUUUAUCCAGCCUUGAUAACCCACUGCGCAGUGCAGGAGCCUGGGGAUGUGCCCCUGCCUUUGAGGUGAGUGUCUUUUAAGUAAUUUAUUUCUUUAAGGCGUAUCUUAACAUCUCAGUUAAACUGUGCUGGUUGCCUCUCUCCGUUGUGUAUCAUCAAGUUGUUCUCCGUAUGUAGUGCUCUGCCAGUUUUGAGUCACUUACACAGCACUGAUUUUCCUGUUUCCUUCCCAAUUACUGCCAGAAAUAUUACAUGACAUAAGGUGAAAGUCUAGUUCUUCUUGAAGCCAGUACUGCCUGUUUAUUUGCGGGUCUGUUUGAGAUGUGUCAGUUAAGUAGUUAUCGAUAACUGUCCUCCAUUUCGAUGCGCUUUAAUCAAGUCUGUUUUGCCAGCGCUCCCUUGCACCGGCACAAAGCCGUGGAGCGAGAUGAGAGCUCUUUUCUCAGGGUUGUUAGUCGUGCUUCCUGACUCUCCGUCCUUGGGCUGAAACCGGAGCCUUGCAGGGCUCGUUUUCUCAGGGCCAUCACAUUUACCACGCUGGCUUGUGCCUGUCCUCUGGGAACAUCGGCGGUGAUGGCUCGGAAGACUUUUUGGCACGAUCAUAUAAAAGUUGAAGGUGUAAAUUAUUUGGAGCUGUUGUUUAAGAAAAAUCUAUGUUUAGUGCCUGCUGUUUAAUAUCAUCCCGGGUUACUCUUGACAAAUGUGACCGUAUCAUUUUACUUUCUCCUUAGGACGGCAUUAAAGUACAUAUUGACCAUUUCUCCCUUUUCUGCAUCGUGACUGAUGUUGCUGCCGUUAUUUCUGACUGCGGAGCACCGUUGUCAGUGGGACUUCUGGUUGUCCUUAAUGUCUAUAAAAAAACCCCUGUAUCUCGUUUUCUAACAGAGCCUGAUGUUUAACUUGCAGUCUCAUGCAUUUUAAGGUGGUGUCAGUAUUUUAGAGACUUCAAAAUGAUUUACAAAUUCUAGGAUUCAUUAAUUCCUUUGCUCAUUAAUGUAGCAAGUUGAUAGGUGUUUUUCCAUAUGAUGAAGGUGGACAUUUUUGCUGCCCUGUUUGUACUGGGCAAUCAUUUAUGUUUGUGCACUGACAAAAUACCUGGCGUUGAUUCCCUUCCCGAUAGCCUGCUGGCAGCUUUGGAACCGGGAUGGGAUGCAGCAUUUAGGUCAGUUCUCCUCGGGAUGCCGUUUCAGGAGGGGACUUCAUGGUUCACACCACGCUGGUGCUGGGGCUGACCCCUCUGUCCUUUGUGCUUCCCAUUUCCAUGGCACCGAGGAAUCCGUUUCUCCUCCUGAUUUUCACCUGUGUGGUGAGAGGGAUGUAUGGAGAGUAUCCAGAGAUGGAGACUCUUGGGGUGGAAAAUGCGGAUUUUUUUUUUUUUUUUUUUUUUUUCCCCCCCUCCCUUUACUGCAUGUUCACACUGUCAUAAAUGAGCUCGAGGAAGGCUGGGCAGGACGAUGUUUCUGCCAGCCCAAAUAAAAGCAGGGACUGUUUUCAUUUGCGCUUACUGCUGGAUAGGUUUCUUUCUCUCAUCUCCGAGACGGGCUGCAAAAUCUGAGCUUUUAUGGGUGCCAAGCUAUAGUGGGGCUCGUCCUGGUGGGAAUUAGGCACCUCCAGGGGAUGAAGCAUCCCAACACUGGGAAAACUGUCCUCUGCGAGCAUUACUUUUCUGGCUGGGCGAUCGCCUGGUGGGUUACCUCGCUGGAGCCGUACCCCAGUCUCGCAGCGGCACGGGGGGGAAAUGUUCCGCUGCCCGGCCCUCGGGCAGCCCCUGAAGGAGCCAAACCUGCAGGAGGUUUGGGCUCUACGUGCUGCUGACACCUCCCGGGAGCUGAGAGUGUAUUAUAGCAACAGAUUCUGUAUUAUUCCAGCCUCACAAGCGUCUCCCUGCAAUAUUAAAAACACCAGCUGAAACCCAAGUCCAGACUCUCAAUGAAUGACUCUGUGGAAAUGCUGUUGGGCGCGUUUCGGUGCCGCUUUGGCUUUGAUUUAAAUGGGUAAACACGGUGAGUGGGUGUUCGCUUUGACGUCUUCCUCAUAGCGAAAGCCUUCCUUUGAGGGAACGUGAAGCCUCCAGUACGAUCCCCCAUCCCAGCACCGGACCAUUCUGCCCACAGCUUGGUGUUGGCGAUGCCUUCGCUGCGUGCCCAGGCCCCGUGCUGCCAGGCUUGCCCAGCAGCAGUGGGAAACCCCUGAUUUCCCCAAGUAUCGGGGAUGCUGUGUGCCCAGGGCUCUGCUCGCAGGUACGAAUAACCCUCGCGGAGCUUGGAUUUCUCCGUCUGGAUGCGGCGUGAUCAUCUCGCCCGGCUGGGAUGAUGCUGCGGGACGUCCUUGGCUUUUGAAGUCAUCUCCCCCCUGCUUGUCCCACACUCUUAAGCUCUGUUCCCCCCAAAGCUUCCCAAAAUCACCUCCGGCUUUGGCUGCACCAGGUUUAUGUGCUGGGAAAUAGCCUUGCCGUGCAGCGGGCGGUCGCUGGAGGAGGCAGGGUGGUUGCAACCCGUCGUCUCCUUGCCCUGCUGAAUUAGGAAGAGCCCCUUCUCCUCCUCACACAUUCCCCCAUUGCCACCAGAGCUAUCGAAACCGGCUCCUUGGCAGCCCGUGCACGUAGGAGCCGUCUUCUGGUAACAGAUUGUUAUGUAUUUAAUGAACCCGAGGAAAACAAGAAAUUUGAAGGCUGCGGGGCGAUACAAGUUUGCUGUUCAGUCUGCCAAAUUCGUGCUAAUUCAGACAACUCACAGAUGUUUGGCUCCUCGUUCAUUAAAGAGAUUUAUGUAAGAUGCAGGGCUCGGAAAUUUAUUCCCGGUGUGCCAGAGAGAUGGAGGUGGCAGCGUGGGCAAAGGUUUCCCAGCCCCAGAGGACUCCUUCCCUCCCUCCGCGGCCGUGCCACUGCCGUACCUUCCUCUUGCCAAUGUUGAUGGCAACGAACGGACAAACAGCAGGGAAAUGUGCCUUUCGGUCGCUAGGAGGAUUAAUAAAGGCUCUAGGUUCGCCUUUCAGGAGCCGAGGAGCUCUUUGAAAGCUAUUUUUCAGCUGAGGAAUGAAACUCCAGAGAUUGCCCGAGAGCUGAAGUACUUUGGUCUGACGCGAACAGUGGUCUCGUAGGGUUUGCAGGUGACGGCCGGCAUGUGUGGUACCCUCUGUGGGCACAGAGACCGUCUGCUGAAAGCAUUUGAAACUCUUGAAAUGUUGCCUGCCUAGUUCAGGUAGAUAAUUUCAAUUUUUGGAGGGUCCUAAGUGAUUAUUUUGCUGGGCUUCACCGGAAGGUUCUGCAAUCUUAGGGUAUUUAUUUAUCCAUAAAGGGGAAGUGGUAGGAGAUGAUGUGAAGUCUGGCAAUCGAUGCAUACAUCAGUAUUUCCCUGCUUUGAAUUCAGAUAUUUCUUUAGGGGCCGUCAGCCUAUACCAAUUCUGCAGCUCAGCCUCAAAAAAGGGAGAAACCUGACUUGCAAGCAGUAUCCAAAUCUGUUCGGAGAGGGAUGGUGGUGUUCUGGCGCUUGGCAAGCUUUCCUCAAUUAUGUUACGAAAUGUCCCAGAUCUUGCUCAUGCUUGGUCCAUGCGGUGGUUUUUUGGUGGUUGCCGAUGAGUAGAAAGCAUUAUAGUUGGCGUUGCAGCGCUGAACUCGCUUUGCAGCUCCAAGACGUGCAGAGACCCCAAGACCUUUGGAGUAAGCAAGGAAGCCCGGGCUGGCCAAGAAGCCCCCCCUAACCCUCAGAGCAUUAUUAUCUGGCUGUAAGUACGUGGAUGCCGUGUUAGAGUUGCCAGGGAGGAAAAGGCAAAGUCACUGCCAGCACCAUUUUCUUCGAGCUAAGAUGUUGAGACAAAGCACCUCUGCCCCAGCCCUGUCCUUUCAGUCCCUUUCUGCUGCUCGCGUGUAAGGGAGUCUUUCCCCUGCCACUCCUAUUCCCUAAGAGCACGGGGGCAAUAAACCUGAUGUGUUUUACUCAA